UUGAACGCUGGCGGCAUGCCUAACACAUGCAAGUCGAACGGUAACAGGCCUUCGGGCGCUGACGAGUGGCGGACGGGUGAGUAAUACAUGGGAAUCUGCCUAUCAGCGGGGGAUAACUCGGAGAAAUCCGAGCUAAUACCGCAUACGCCCUACGGGGGAAAGCGGGGGAUCGCAAGACCUCGCACUGAUAGAUGAGCCCAUGUCCUAUCAGCUUGUUGGUGAGGUAACGGCUCACCAAGGCUACGACGGGUAACUGGUCUGAGAGGAUGAUCAGUCACACUGGGACUGAGACACGGCCCAGACUCCUACGGGAGGCAGCAGUGGGGAAUAUUGGACAAUGGGGGCAACCCUGAUCCAGCAAUGCCGCGUGGGUGAAGAAGGCCUUCGGGUUGUAAAGCCCUUUCGGCUGGGAAGAAAAGCUUAUGGUUAAUAACCGUGAGUCUUGACGUUACCAGAAGAAGAAGCACCGGCUAACUCUGU
rnacentral:rRNA from 1 species